rnacentral:rRNA from 1 species
GCCAUCAUUAAGUUGGGCACUCUAAGUUGACUGCCGGUGACAAACCGGAGGAAGGUGGGGAUGACGUCAAAUCAUCAUGCCCCUUAUGAUUUGGGCUACACACGUGCUACAAUGGACAAUACAAAGGGCAGCGAAACCGCGAGGUCAAGCAAAUCCCAUAAAGUUGUUCUCAGUUCGGAUUGUAGUCUGCAACUCGACUACAUGAAGCUGGAAUCGCUAGUAAUCGUAGAUCAGCAUGCUACGGUGAAUACGUUCCCGGGUCUUGUACACACCGCCCGUCACACCACGAGAGUUUGUAACACCCGAAGCCGGUGGAGUAACCUUUUAGGAGCUAGCCGUCGAA